UACGUAGGGACCGAGCGUUGUUCGGAUUCAUUGGGCGUAAAGGGUGCGUAGGUGGCGCUGUAAGUCAGGUGUGAAAUUUCGGAGCUCAACUCCGAAACUGCAUUUGAUACUGCGGUGCUUGAGGACUGGAGAGGAGAUUGGAAUUCACGGUGUAGCAGUGAAAUGCGUAGAUAUCGUGAGGAAGACCAGUGGCGAAGGCGAAUCUCUGGACAGUUACUGACACUGAGGCACGAAGGCCAGGGAGCAAACGGG
rnacentral:rRNA from 1 species